rnacentral:lncRNA from 1 species
CAAACAUCAUGGGGAAGAUAUGCUCCACUACAGGGGUUUGUGAUAAAGGAUUGCUAAUCGUUGUGUAACUACUGUCCUUCCCAAGAGUCUAUAUUACUAUUUUUAAAGCAAGACUUAUUCUUAAAGUAGGACUGCUUUUGUUCUUAAGAUAUCAGGAUGUCAAAACAUUUCCUGCAUCUGUUAAGUUCUGGGUCUGUUUCUGUUCCCUUAACAGUAAACAUCCUGUGACUAAGAAUGCCUGGCCUCCUGGGAAUACAGCCCAGCAGGUCUCAGCCUCAUUUUACCCAGCCCCUAUUCAAGAUGGAGUUGCUAUUCAAGAUGGAGUCGCUCUGGUUCACACACCUGUGGCCACAAAAGAAAGAUUGGAUGACUAUAUAAGUGAUCAACCAACCAAACAAAAGAGAGGGAUCCACCAUGAGGAGUGUGUCCAGAGAGGAGCUGCUCUCCCUUUAGACUAUGCCCAAGAUAAACACAUAUGGAGCAGACCUGAUCCCAACCCACAGCCUGCAGCCAUGCCCAGCAGAGCCCAGCCUGGAUCCGCCAAGUCGUGCUUGACCUAUGGACCUGAAUGUAGGAAUAAGUACUUAUUGUUAAUAUACAUGAAUGUAAGAAUUACUACCACUGAGUUGGGUUUGUGACAACUGACAAAUUACUGAGCUUUCAAAUUGUGCUUCACAGAUACCAAGGGCAGUAGUUAAAAAAAAAAAUCCUCUUCUCAAACCCAGAGUGCAUUCAUUCAUUUAUUAAUUAAUUAAUUCUCUUAGUUAUUCAACACAGUUUUUGAGCCCUCAGAUGUUAGGCAUUGUUGUAGGUGCUGGGGAUAUGGAAUUUAAUGAGGCAGCCAUUCAUGGUUCCUGCCUUCAUGGUAUGACCAUUUUGGUAGAGGAGACCAUAAACAGACCAGUAAAUAGAUAAAUAAACAAACAAAUGCAUAGGUUCAACAUAUGCUGUUAUUGAAAUGAGACAAAAGGUGAGCUGAAGUGGGAAUAGGAGUGGCCACUUCAAACUGGGGGUCAAGGAAGGCUUCUCUGAGGAGGGGACAUUUAAGCUGACACUGUAGAAAGAGACAGCCAAAGAAUUUGCUCCAAGAGAGCGUUUCAGGAAGUGGGUAUAAUCAGGGAAAAGACCUUGAAGCAGGGAAGUAUCUGGUUCAGUCAAGGAAGAGAAAGGAGGCAACCAGGCUAGGACACAGAAGAGGAGGAGAGGGGUCUUCUGGUGUGCCUGAGUGCUCCUAUAGAGGUACAGGGCCUCAUGGGAGGAAGGGUCUGAAGUUAACAAAAUAAGCAAAGGAACAUAGGUGAAAGGUUUAAGCCAGGGAGUGAUUACCCUUCAGAUCACUCAGCUGUGAUCUGAUCUUUAAAAAUAUACACUCAGAAAUAGUGACCCAAUAUGACUGUGAUUCUGAACUGCAAAGCAAGGAGACACACCCUCUUGAGGGUGGUUUUCUGUUAUAAAUCUCUGUCUCAGGGGUCCUAAGCAGUGUCCAGCAACGGGGACAGAAGAAUGAGGGCCCACUCAGAGAGGUUCUGCUUCAGUUGCUUUAUACCUGGGCCCUUGCUAAAGUUUUAUUUGAAGAGAGAGUGCUGUGUUAAAUAAAUGAAUAUGAUAAAAUAAAGGAAAAUAGAAAUAACAACAACAACAUGUGAAUUUGUAUCUAGACCAAGCCAAGCCAAGACUCAGAUCUGGGAAACAGGUUCAGAAAGGUGGGGGCCUGGUUCAGAGUCACCCAGCACAUUAAUGCCCAGCUUCUUCUCACAUUUACACAACAGUAACCAUUUACAGUGACUUCACAGUCAGUGUCCUGGUAGGGUAGUUAAUACACUGUCCCUGAAUGAACAGUAUCUCCCUGCAGAGCUGGAAGCUGUGGUAUGUAGAUGCAGCACUGCAUCUCCUAUUUAUCCACACUAGAGAAGCAGCAAGCAGAGGUGGGAGAGGAU